CAGCCGCGCGGGCCGCGAUGUCUUCCCGGCCCGGGCGUGACGACGCGCGAGCCGGAGGCGCGCGGCGGCCGCGGGAGUCGGCCGAGCAGGAGCUGCAGCGGCGCCGAGAGCAGAAGCGGCGGCGGCACGACGCGCAGCAGCUGCAGCAGCUCAAGCACCUGGAGUCCUUUUAUGAAAAACCUCCUCCGGGGCUUAUCAAGGAAGAUGAGACUAAGCCGGAAGACUGUAUACCAGAUGUACCAGGCAACGAACAUGCCAGGGAAUUUCUGGCUCACGCACCAACUAAAGGACUUUGGAUGCCACUUGGGAAAGAAGUCAAAGUUAUGCAGUGCUGGCGUUGUAAGCGGUAUGGUCACCGAACAGGCGACAAAGAAUGCCCUUUUUUUAUCAAAGGCAACCAAAAAUUAGAACAGUUCAGAGUAGCACAUGAAGAUCCCAUGUAUGACAUCAUACGAGAGAAUAAAAGACAUGAAAAGGAUGUAAGGAUACAGCAGUUAAAACAGUUACUGGAGGAUUCCACCUCCGAUGAAGAUGGGAGCAGCUCCAGCUCCUCAGAAUGUAAAGAGAAACACAAGAAAAAGAAGAAGAAAGAAAAGCAUAAGAAAAGGAAAAAAGAAAAGAAGAAGAAAAAACAAAAGCAUAAGUCUUCCAAGUCGAAUGAGAGUUCAGACUCGGACUGACAAGGACUUGACCUAUUCCAUGUUCUCCUCUCAAAAAUCAGACACUGUGGCCCCAGACCAGAGGGUGUGGAAUCGGGGAGGACUUGGAGACCCCAAGAGAGCAGGGCAUUCGGUGUCACGCGUGUGAAUCUCACCUGCCUUCCAGCAAAGACGUGACCCCCGGAGGGGCUGUGAUAGGAUGGAAAAAAUGGAUUCCUACACACUGAUGAGAAAUGACAGCAGAGGCAAAUGAGACUUUAAGAAGACUAAAGGAGAAAGAUCCCACAGGAAGAGGAGAGAAGAGGAACCACUGUGACAUACACAAGGAGAACUCCAGCCAACACUAACACCAGACCUCAGGACAAGCUAGUUGACCAGAGCCUAACUGAUCAGGGUAAUUCCAAGUCUGGGUGGAAGGGUCCUCACCUCUUCUGGCUGGCCUGGGAUCGCGGACACAGGGCUGCGCGGCGUUGGGGACCCGGGCAUCGUUGCCCACAAGCCCGAGCUGCAUCUCGCACAAACAAGUCUUGGCUUCCCCAAGCAGCAGCAGCAGCAGCAGCAGCACUGAGUGAAGACUGAGGCCAGGAGAGAACUUGCCGCAGCGCCUCGAACGUGACGGGCUGUGCCCAGGAGCUCCACUCCAGGGCCAUCACUUAGGCCUGGCCUGCAGCGCCCUCGUCCUCAGCCUCUCGGGCGUGCCCACCGCGCCCCUUCCCCGGUCCAGAGGAGCCCAUCCCGGGGGAGCCAGCCUCUCUUUACCCACGACUCACACCCCACUCCCUGUCCUGCAAGUCAGUCGCCUCCACUCCCUCGGCACCCAACCCCACCACUCACCGUGUUCGGUACGCCCACCUGCUCUAAGCCAACCUCCACAACCCGGAACGUCUCUGACACCUGGGCCUUGGCUCCCACUUUCAUAGGCUCCGCGGGCUGUGCGGGCCUCCCACAGACGGCUCACGCAUGCGCCCUGGGCGAGGAUCGGAGCCUGACUGCUCCUCCCAAGGACACCUGGAGAAGCCUUGGAGCAGUUUUCGGCACCGUGCUCGCUCCGGCGCCUGGACGCCCUGGUGUUGGCGCUUCCAGAGGACGGGUCGGUUCCCUGUCCCAUUCGCUCUCCCGGAUUGUCCCUUCCAUUUGAGUGUGUUCGGUGAAGACAGCUUGUCUCCCCUGCUCUGAGCCCCUGGUCUCCUUCCUUCUUGGGCCUAACACCGCUGACACGAAGGAAGAGGAGCUGA